rnacentral:rRNA from 1 species
GACGAACCGUCCAAACGUUAUUCGGAAUCACUGGGCUUAAAGGGUGCGUAGGCGGCGCGGAAAGUUGGGUGUGAAAUCCCUCGGCUCAACCGAGGAACUGCGCCCAAUACUACCGUGCUCGAGGGAGAUAGAGGUGAGCGGAACUUAGGGUGGAGCGGUGAAAUGCGUUGAUAUCCUAAGGAACACCGGUGGCGAAAGCGGCUCACUGGAUCUCUUCUGACGCUGAGGCACGAAAGCUAGGGUAGCGAACGGG